GGACCAGUGAGGGAACUGCCAAGCCCCACGCUCCGCAGAAAGUCUGUGGGGAUCAUCGGGGCCACAAGUCAUUAGCAGGACGUUUCAGGGAGGUUACGAAUCUGUUGAUGGCUAGGCGCCCCCCAGGAGGGGAAAGACUGAUUCCCCCACACGGAGGAGAGAAGGAUGCUCAGAGAGCCCAAGUCACCUACCUGGGCUCACACAGCUAGAAUGAGCACUUCCUCACAAAGAAGAAAAGAAAGCCACACGCCCAAGAACAGGAGAGAGGAGCAGCCAGAAGCAAGUAGAAGUGAUGUCUCCAGCCAUGAGGCCCGCGGGAACAAGCACGUGAGUCCCACGCACAUGGCCGAACCCCCGCUGCUCCACUUCCUCCUGGGGCCCCCUCCUCAGUGAAGCUGGGGCAGACGCGGGACUGGAAUCACAUCCCGGGAUCUCUGGAGCUCUGGUUUCACAGACACUGUGAGCACCGGGUGCCGAGUCACCCAGAGCCUUGGUCCAUGGCUCACGACAAAGGAAGCAGGGUGACACAAGGAUAGUGAUGCCCUGGGGACGGCGCAGAGGCCUGUCUACCACCCAUGCGUCCAAGAACGAAGGCUCCCCGCGCAAGGGGGUCCCCGGGGUGGGGUCGAAAGCCUGCAAUUACUGCUGAUGACAACCUUCGGGCCAGCUCCAUGGUGCGGUUUAUGGAGACUCUGAGCCGGACACACAGAGGUUCGCUGCGGGAUGAAAGGCCAGCUGGAAGGGCAUGAUGGGCAGGGGACGGGCACGGCCUGGGAAAAGGACACAAACGCACGAAUGUCAUCAGUCUGGGCUGGUGGCUGCUGGGUGCCAUCCUUCCAUCCCGCGCCCACUGCGUGGGGUCAAGACUUGUCCGCAUCCGGGGAAGGAGUGACCACAACACCCUGGGCUCCUGGAACCGCUUGUCCCCUCUAAGCUCCCACUCCAGCCUCAAUGGUCCAUCCUAACAUGGUUCCCCAUGGCCCCCAGCAGGAACCAUAAACUCACAUGCCCUUGGGGACCAGGCUGGGGACCAAGGAGUGAAGGAGGCUGGAGGGAGACAAUAGGGAGUGGUGGAGACUGUGAACAACGGGAGACCACAGGCCCCUGACACUGGGCAGCUGUCACUCAGCUCCAACUCGUGUUCGUCAUGCAGGACUGUGGGUCCAGGGCUGCCAGAGUUUUCCAUUGUUCGAGUAAGUCAGAAAGCUGGAUUGUUUUUAAUCCUGAUUUCUAAAUAUUGCAAUUCCAACAAAACAAUAGAAAUCUAGGUGCUGUACGAACCACACAAGGUUCUCUGUGGCUGGCUUUGCCCCUUGGCCUCAGAUGAAGUGGAGCCCUGGUGGCCUGGUCCCCGGCCCCCUCUCCAGGCCCCUCUUCCCUUUCUCCUCCUCUCCAG
rnacentral:lncRNA from 1 species